rnacentral:rRNA from 1 species
UGGGUGGCGAGUGGCGAACGGGUGAGUAACAUAUCGGAACGUACCGAGUAGUGGGGGAUAACUGAUCGAAAGAUCAGCUAAUACCGCAUACGUCUUGAGAGGGAAAGCAGGGGACCUUCGGGCCUUGCGCUAUUCGAGCGGCCGAUAUCUGAUUAGCUAGUUGGUGGGGUAAAGGCCUACCAAGGCGACGAUCAGUAGCGGGUCUGAGAGGAUGAUCCGCCACACUGGGACUGAGACACGGCCCAGACUCC